rnacentral:lncRNA from 1 species
GAUUCCGCCUGAAUUAAGCAGUGGCGGGCACUGGCCUGGCAGGCGGCUUCUACUGCCUUGGAUUUGCACCUCUAAGGGGUCACAGGGGCCACCCCCGAAACAAGACAAAGUGUGAUCAUGGACAGGCCCUCGGGGGGCCGGAAGAAGGAACGGCUCCAGUGAUGAAAGCUGAACGCCAGCUCUCUCCCCAUCGUUCUCCCGGACCAGGAGAGGGCUGCUCGGCAGGGCUAGGUUUAAAAACCUUCCAUGCAACUUACGAAGGCAUCCACAGUGACUUCUGCUGCUGUGGAAGAGUCUCUCCCUUUUGCAAACGCCAGCCACAGAGGUUUAUUUUUCUCCCUGAGAGAAGGAAGAGUGAAGGCUGAGACUGAGACAGAAGGACAGAAGGAGAAGACUUAGAAGCCAGUGAGCCCGGAACCACGAGACGCGCUCUGAGGACACGGGGCCUCGGGGAAACCGGGCACGGGCAGGGGUUGGUCUUGGCUUCCCCGCAACAUUGCCGCGAGCUCGGGUGCCGUCUCCACUCGCAGGCUGGCCUGUCCUCUGCAGCCACGAGCUCAGGCACCGUCUCCGUUCAUAGGCCAGCCUGUUCUCUGCAGCCUGAGGUCCCUGUGGUGCCAACAUCCAGAUGCUGAGAUAAUUCUGCCAGGGUGUUGGCUGAUCGGUGAUUGGUGGUUGGCUGUUCCGUGAGUUCUGCAUUGAUCUUGCUGGCUGAGCGUCCAAUGCGGAGGGGCAGGUGCUGUUAGGGUCUCCACUCCCAUCCCUCUCCCCAGGACUCAUCACCCACUGCAA